GGCACCAGUUUCAGAAUCGUCGUUGAAUUUCUGCGUUCGUCCGAGACGGCGGCGGCGGCUGCAAAUAAUAUCACCUGCGGCGAUUUUCGAAAACUUCUCAAAAUAUUAUUACCGCGCGCGUAUCCGCGUGUAAAUAAUGGAACGUUUAACAUUACGACGAGUCGUCAGCGGCUGCUGCUGCUGCUGCACGCGCAUUUCCUGUUGCGCAAAU